ACGUCCCCUGCACUGGCAGGCGGAUUCUUAACCACUGGACUGCCAGGGAAGUCCACUGUGCCUACCUGUUUGAUUACUUCCUUCUGAAUGGCUUGCAAGUGAUUUCUCAGGUCUGGACCUAUUGAACUGAGUUUCCCCAGGGAAAGUAGAGGAGACUGUGAUGUCUCUAUCCUUUGUGUCCCCUGUGGGAGGGAGGGCCAAGGCUGACUCACAUAUAAGAAUAUUUGAGUUCUAACAUGGCAGGAAAGUCCCCAAAUCCCUGGGUGAAAGUCACACGUGAGAUUCAGUUGAGCACCUGCUGUGUAUAAGCUUAAUGCCCACUGUGUUGUAGGGAUCUAGGCAAUCCUGGCCCCUGCUUGCCUUCAUGGAGCUUGCAGUUCCUAUAGAAGGCUCAUCAAUUCAGUAGUGACAUUACAUGUACCCCUCCUGCUCCUUGUUCUCCUCCUCAUGACUGUUAUAUUGAUAACAGUAUCAAUAGCUAACAUAUUCUGCUCAUAUGUGUCAUUCUUGACGUGGUGGGGCAGAGGACAAAGAUUCUCACCUUAUACAUUCAUUGUCUAGAAAGAACUAUACAAAUAAUAAGUGACACUUGUAUAAUGCUUAUUACCUACCAUGUUCCAAGCACCUUACAUCUAUUCAUUCAUUUUAAGCCCUACAGCGGCCCUAUGAGGGAGGCGCUAUUAUCAUUCCCAUUUUUACAACGAUACUAAGGCUCAGAGAGGUCAAGUAAGUUGCCUGAGGUGGCCCAGCCAGUGAAAAUGAAAUGAGCUAUUAUUAGUCACUAGCCGGGGAGUUCCCCUGUUUCUGUUGUGGUCGUUGUUGACCUAAGUUGCUUAGGAAGUUCUCUAUCAGCUCCUACUGCAGUUUAGAUCCUGUCUGCUGGUAGUCGUGAUAAACAACAUUGCUGGAGGUGACCUGUGUGUGAACGGGGCACUCCUGAAUUUUCUCAUGGCUUUUGUAUGUGAUUGAAGAACUUUAAACCUCAGUGAGGCCCUUCCUUCAGAGUGACGAUUGCAGUAACUGAUCUUGGCAGGGAAAUCAUGUUUAUAAGAUUUUUUUUGUUUUAAAUUAGUAUCUCACCCUGACCAUUUUUCUGGCUGUAUUCCCAAAUACCAAGCCUGCCCCUCUGGAAUGGCUGAGAACGCAUGAGACUGUGAACACCAUCAUAUUUUGCAUCAUGCUCAAAAAUAGUAGAAAUCAGUGAGUUCAUUCAAUCAACAUUCUUCUUGAGCGCCAACUCUAUGCAAGGCACUGUUCUUGGUACUGGGGCUACAGCAGUGAGCAAAACAGCCUAAACUUCCCUGCCUUCAUGAUCCAUACAGUGUGCCAGAGAGAUAAACAGACAAUAAAGAAAACGAAUAAGUAUAACAUAUCAUUUGAUGAUAAAUGCUGUUGGAGAAAAGUAAAGAAAAGAAAAGGAGAGCUGGGGAUAGGUGCCCUUUUAUAUAGGGUGGCCUGGGCAGGCCUUACUGACAAAGUGACUCACAGGCAAACCUCUGAAGGAGUGAGGGUGUUUCCUGUGGCCUAGCUGGAGACUUUUGUAUACACAGACCUAGGGCACUGGCUGGCUUGCCAGGGCCUGGGAGGUGGAUGUUCCGCGUGCUCAGCAGCUAGUGGGUGGGGCUUGGCACCACUAGCUCAGACCAAGGGUACCCACCCACCCUGCCAGGGCUUGGGAAGCUGCUGUGUUGAAGUGACCCCACCCCUGUGCUUCUCCUGCAACUGAAGGGAUGGGUGAACAACCACAAGAAGCUCCCAAAGUCUCAAAGGGGCAACCCUCACUCCGCAGUUCCCUGCUGAGUGCUUCAGCUGUGUCUGUCCUUCUGACUUUGUAUCUUUACUGUGGAGGCAGCCCUGCCAUAGGCCCUCUAUCCCCCUCCGACCACCAGGGGCGCGCUCUGCAAUCUCUUCCCUGCUGGAGGUUGUUACAUUUGCAUCAAAAAGAUGUUCCCAAAGCCUGGAAUGUAUGUGUGUGUGUGCGUGUGUGCCCUGUGUGUGUGCACUCCACGUGUGUGUGUGCGUGUAUUCCAUGUGUGUGUGUAUGUGUGCACGUGUGUGUCCUGUGUGUGUGCCUCUGUGUGUGUGUGUGUGUGUGUACUUUUGAAGGGGGGCUGUAUUUCAGACCUUCACACCUAUCAAUUCCUGUCUUGUGCUUCGAGCACACGACUGUUGAUCGAAGCUUCUUGCCUUUGUUGCACAGUGCAACACGGGGCGAUGAGCCUGACUCCAGCAUCAGACUGACUUGCCCUUCAAUACCAGUCCCACCAUGACCCACGUGCUCUAUGGCCUCAGACAGGUCGCUUGUAAGCUCUCUGGGGGUGCAUUUUCUCAUCUGUAAAAUGGAGAGAAAAGCAGCACCUUCCUCACCGAAUUGUCCAAAUUAAAUGAGAUGAGCCAGCAGUGGCCAGCAGGGGCCAACUUGGUUCUGCUCAUCACCUGCCCAGAUCCAGCUGCCACACCCAUGAGACCUUGCAGUCGGGCACUCAAGCAUGUGGUGUGGUCCCCACAGAGGCCAGGCCAGAGAGAAUCCCCAGAUCAGUGCACCACCCACACCCGCAUGGUCCAUACUCCCUCCAGUGCUAGAGCGGCAGCUAGGGGUGCUGGGAGCUGCUCCCCCGCGGAGGUGGUGCCGAGGCCACUGUGUCUCUGUUCCUCUCCUCAGCUUCUGGGCCACAGGCAGUGUCAUCACUCUCUACCAUUUUUUGGGAAACGGCUUCCUCUCCUUGUCCGAGACUCUUCCUAUUCUCUUUUGGGCCCUUUUCUUUUGCCACCUGCCAAUCCCCCAGUCUCCCACUCCCCCAUCCCCGUCCUUAGUUAUCCCUAGUCUUGGCGGUUAGUGGAUCCCUCUUGUCAUGGGGAGGCUCAUUGGAUCUUAUCGUAUGUCUCACUGGGCAUGACAGCAUGGCCCAUUGUUGGCUGCUGUUGGUGAGAGAGGAGGAGGGAGAGGAAGGGAGAAAAAAAGAGGGGACUUGGUCUCGGCCCUGGCUGAUGGUGGAGGGUGCCACCUCGCGCAAGAGGGAGGGAGGAAAGUCUAGGGGGAUUCUGUCCAUAGCCCAGUGCUGGACUCUGCAGCCUGUACUUUAUGCAGCAGAAGAAGGAGUCUGCACUUGGGGAGUGGGGGUAGGGCUGGACGCUGCAGGAGAGGAGGGAUUGGCAUGGGGCGGGCAGAUUGAGUUCUGGCCGGGUUGGGAUGCACUCAUCUGUGUGAGGGCUGGUGGAGGGGACCAGCAGGCCUUCAGUGAGGAUGGAAGGAGAUGUGGGUCAGGUGCAGGCAAGAGGGCAAGCAGCCAGGUGAGGGCAGAGGUAGGGGUAGCAGAAAGGCAGAGAGGGACCUUGGGCCAGAUGGCUGCAGAGGCCAUAGGUCGCCCUUUCUCUCCACCUCACAUUCUCUUCUCUUUGUAUCCUUUAUUUUCUGCACGCAUCCCUACUCUUUCUCCAUCCUUUGGGUCUCAUCGUCAUCCCUUUUUUCUUCUAAGUCUCAGUUAUUUCAUCUGCCGAAUAAAGGUGUUUGUGCUGGAGACCGCAGGCCCCCAGUGUCACCUCUCCUGCUUUCCCUUCAGCCUCUGAAAUCUGAUUCAAUAAGAGCUGCUGCCUCGGGGCUGUGGAUGUUCCCCAGGCUGGCAGUGGAGCACGAGGGUCCAGACCUUGGCUUCCCUGUCCUUGCUUGUGUAGCAGCGGUUGUGGAACAAGCCUGUUUCACUUCUCACCCAGGUUGGACAUGGGAGAGGGUGCCAAAUCUAGAAACAACUUUUCUUCCACAGUCAAAUGGCUUCCUCUCAGCGCCAGUCCCUUUAAGAUGAGAAGGAAACCAGAAAAGGAGAUCUUUGAUGUUGUUCAAUUGAGAAAUCCAUCAGGUGGGAGAGAGCCAGAAAUGCCAGAGAGAAGGGUUCCGUGAUCGCUGCACUGGCGGGAGUGCUGCCUGGACUUUGUUUUUGUUUUGAUGGUAAAUAUCCCCUGAUAUAAACAUAGGCAGAGCAGGGUAAAAACAACCUUUGGUCCUCAAACAAACGAACGGAACCUGCCUUGCACGGGCGAUGGGUCUUGCUGCAAUGAUGCAGCUCAAGGGGCCUUCACUGUGGAAUUUCCUGCCUUGAGCAUGAUGGAUUUUCCAUUCUUGUCCCCGGAUGAACACCCUCCUCAGUGCCUUUGCCCUAGGCAAAGCCCCCCAAGAACUGGACAGCACUGUCUCAGCUGGGCCCAGCUUCAGAGUGGGGUGCCUCCCCCUCUGGAAUCAGGGCUGAGGGGAUCUUCCUGACCCAGGGAUUGACCAGUGUCUCUUCUGUCUCCUGCAUUGAUCAAGGGUUCCCUCACAGAUACGCCUCACAUGACACAACUAUGUUUCUGAAAGGUAUUAUGGCAAUGGAAUUCAGAUCACUGGCAAUAUAUCAAAUAUUUUCAACGGACUGACUGCUCACUAGCGGGAUCCAGUCCCAAGAGGGAGCCUCCAAGAAGACUCUGCCACCCGCUGCCGCAGCAGACAGCAGCCGUCUUUCCAGUAAGAAGACAUUUCCUGGCCGGGCAACGGGACCAGCGGGCCGGCGGCAGCGCAGGCAGUGCCAGCCAGCCCGGGAAGCCACGCGCUCAGUCAGAUCCGGGGGACAGAGCAGCCCGCCGGCGUCCUGGGGCCUGCAGCCAGCCCCGGGCUCACGUCUCCCCUGACCGGCUGGGUCGGGCAACGAGGGGGUCCCGGCUCCACCUACUCGACCCAGCCCAAGAAUCGGACCAAAACCAGGCAGACAUUCGGAACCUGUCUGAUUCCGAGGAGGGGAGGGGAGAGGGGUGGGGUGGGGUCGGGGAGAGUUGCAGGGAGCAGAAGCUCUGAGAGCCAUUCCCGGACAAGCAUCUCUGCUCAGCAAAGCGGGCAGGGCUUGCUAGGCCCAGCCCCGCGGGUAGUUGGGUGCAGGGACGUGACGGGACCGCGAGGGUUGAUGCUUUCUUCUAUUGUUCCCACUCGUCACAGAGGGCUCCUAGCAAACAUACUCUGCUUUUCCCAGCUCUCCCGAUGAAAUCCAGAGCUGGGUUUUGCUGCUGCUAUCCAGGUCGGGAGUUUUGGUCCAUGUGAAGACUUGAUUUACGCUGCUACGCUAGGAUGUCGACCCAGCAGCCCAGCCAAACGCGGAGGCAGCCGUGAAGUUGGGACUUGUGGAAGAGUGGAGACUGGCUCCCAACCAAGCAGCCACACACUCCCCUGGAAACUGGGGACACCUGGAAGUCCACACUCUGCUGCCCGGCUCCUUGGCCUUGCUUUUCAAACGUUAUCGCUUGGACAGAUCGCUUGGGGUCCUUGUUAAAGUGAAGAUUCUGAUUUAGGUGGGUGGGGCCUGAGACUCUGCAUUCCUAGAAAGCUCCCAGCUGCUGCCCUAGACCACACCUGGAGGGGCAAGGGGCACAGCAUUGCUCUUGACUGCAGCUAUGCCAGUUCAAAUAACCUGGGGAGCCCAAUACACUUGAAUAUGGUUGAGUCAUCUUAAGUGUUCUCGCCAUAAAAAAAUAAAAAGAUACUAUGUGAAGUGA